AUUUAUUUUUGAAUCUUAAGUACAUAUUCAGUAACCAUGGAAAUAGUCAUACUUGAUGUUUAAAGCUGAUGCUAUACUCUCAAAAAUAUAGAUGUGAGGCAAUAUAAAGAACUGUGUUAGAGAUAAAAUUAUGUUUUUAUGCUGUAUACUAUAACUAUUCAAGAAUAUCAUGGAAAAACAGGUAAGGAUUGAUGAGAAACAUGGAAAUAUGAAAAUUAGAUUCAGAUUGGUGAUCCUGUGUGCUUUUUAAAAAUCUUUUGAUCUUUCCCAAUAUUGUCUUAUGCAUUCUAACUAAAACAAAAAAAAACCAAAACCAGAGUAAAGAUGUGCCAGCAAACUUGAAGCAUAUCACACAGUUCAUAGACAUUCGCGAUGCUUAAGAGCCAUGUUAAAAGUUUAUAGUGUCAUCUAAGAGAAGAUACAGUUUCAAGUGCCUUUGUACUAAAGCAUAAGAGUUUGUCUGAUAUGAUUUUGAUACUGGGGAUGUUCAUCUUCUAUUUCAGAGAUCUUAUUUUUGCUGCUAGAUAAUGUUCACAAGUUUUCAUAGUUUGUUCCUUCUGUGAACUCAACUUUUCUCUCGUAUUUAGUCUGUGUCUGAUUUCUUCAAUAAUGUUGAAAAUGCUUCAGAAUAGAAGGGAAACUUUGAAUUGGCCUGAU
rnacentral:lncRNA from 1 species